AACCGGGGCUAAUACCGGAUAAUACAUGAAACCGCAUGGUUUCAUGAUGAAAGACGGUUUUGCUGUCACUUAUAGAUGGACCCGCGGCGUAUUAGCUAGUUGGUAAGGUAACGGCUUACCAAGGCAACGAUACGUAGCCGACCUGAGAGGGUGAUCGGCCACACUGGAACUGAGACACGGUCCAG
rnacentral:rRNA from 1 species